rnacentral:rRNA from 1 species
GAUGAACGCUGGCGGCGUGCCUAAUACAUGCAAGUCGAGCGAACGGACGAGAAGCUUGCUUCUCUGAUGUUAGCGGCGGACGGGUGAGUAACACGUGGAUAACCUACCUAUAAGACUGGGAUAACUUCGGGAAACCGUAGCUAAUACCGGAUAAUAUUUUGAACCGCAUGGUUCAAAAGUGAAAGACGGUUUUGCUGUCACUUAUAGAUGGAUCCGCGCUGCAUUAGCUAGUUGGUAAGGUAACGGCUUACCAAGGCAACGAUGCAUAGCCGACCUGAGAGGGUGAUCGGCCACACUGGAACUGAGACACGGUCCAGACUCCUACGGGAGGCAGCAGUAGGGAAUCUUCCGCAAUGGGCGAAAGCCUGACGGAGCAACGCCGCGUGAGUGAUGAAGGUCUUCGGAUCGUAAAACUCUGUUAUUAGGGAAGAACAAAUGUGUAAGUAACUGUGCACAUCUUGACGGUACCUAAUCAGAAAGCCACGGCUAACUACGUG